GGGCGGUCCCCUUCGGGGGACAGGGUGACAGGUGGUGCAUGGUUGUCGUCAGCUCGUGUCGUGAGAUGUUGGGUUAAGUCCCGCAACGAGCGCAACCCUCGACCUUAGUUGCCAGCAUUCAGUUGGGCACUCUAAGGUGACCGCCGGCUAAAAGUCGGAGGAAGGUGGGGAUGACGUCAAAUCAUCAUGCCCCUUAUGACCUGGGCUACACACGUGCUACAAUGGGCGGUACAAAGGGUCGCGAACCCGCGAGGGGGAGCCAAUCCCAAAAAGCCGCUCUCAGUUCGGAUUGCAGGCUGCAACUCGCCUGCAUGAAGCCGGAAUCGCUAGUAAUCGCGGAUCAGCAUGCCGCGGUGAAUACGUUCCCGGGCCUU
rnacentral:rRNA from 1 species